AAUGCGUAAGCAUCUUUACCGAAGACAGCAGGUGCCGCAAGGCGUAACGUAGAUCGACCUGCCGAGGAGGACGACGAACACAGCCUGUCUGUGAUACGUAGGAUCAUCUGCCUCACUGUCUUAGGACGGUGAGGUUUUUCGGUUUAUGU
rfam:Shuttleworthia satelles DSM 14600 genomic scaffold Scfld1, whole genome shotgun sequence.